UGUGCUUGGGCAGGGGAGUGAGCACAGGCAAAGAAGAAAACAGAAUACAUGCCCAGAAAAUCUUCUUCACAUUCAGCUGUAAUCCUGGACCCAAUUUUAAAGAUUAUUUAAACAUGCCUUUAAUUCUGAGGCUUUCCUAUGUAGGACUUUUCUUCACUGCUCAACGGGAAAAAGAAUGACAAUGUGCUAGAAAUUGAGAAGAAGCUUCAUAUGUUCAAAGAUGCUGCUCCCGGCCUUUCGUUCAGCAGAGAGAGGAAAUAAAGCAACAUCUACAAAAUGUUUGUUUGGAAGCAACAUAAGUUCUCUUGGACACCUGAAAGGCUCCUGCCCUCCCAUCUUCCUA